GGAUCACCAGCCCAUUGCCUGUGAAGGCCCUCAGCAGAUAGUCCAGAAUCUGAGCUUUAAUUUAAAAAAAAUUCAUUAAAGUUAAUGAGCAACAACAAAAUGUUAAGAGUUCCAUGGAAGUGCAGUAUUUAACAGAGGCAGUUAAGAAAGAAAAGAAGUAGCAACUGAUACCCAACUGGUUGACACCGAGGGCAUGUGGCAGCAGAACAAACAAAAAGUGGAGACAGAUUUCCAGGGCAACUUCCUACUGUGAAUUGACAACAAUGACCACAUUACCUCCCCAAACAUGUGACCACGUGUGACUCUUCAAACAUAGAUGUCAGAAAGACUACAAGAAAUCAGCCAGACAUCUGCAGUUACAGAAGUCUCUCUCUCUCCCCCCCCCACGCACAUCAUAACUGAGGACUACAGCAAAACAAGUGAUUGAAUGGGAAGUCAUAUGAUCCUAUGUAUGAUUGCCACCAUUUUGUUCUGGCAGAGCUCUUGUGCUUUUGAAGCAUACAGAAAUAUAAGAGGGGCAACUUUACCUGUCAUGCCCCUUUCAAAGGCACAGAAAGUGUGCAAGAACAAAAAAAAUGCAGCUCCCAUUCCUCUCUGAUACUGUCAAAUCUCUCUCCACAACUGAUACUGUACUAUGAAAGGUGUGACUAUUUCAGCUAUGCCCCAGUUCUUAAGAUGUUACCAUGUAGGGACUUCCGGGAAGGGUGACUUAGCCUGUGCCUGCUUUUGAGACGGGCUCCUGCCUCAAAAGAAGCUUAUUCAGAUAUAUCAGUCAGUUUUUUCUUUUUUUUGACUGAUUAAACUUCUCCCGGGUAGGGAGAAACGAAGAGAUUAACCUCAAAGCCUAUUUUUGUUGGGACGACCAGAUCUCAUUAAUUUAUGGGACGAGGUCCAGCCGACGAAGGUGGGACGGAUUUUCAACAGCAAGCUCUAUCUGUUAAAGCGAACGUUCAUCUUAUCUUCUAAGAGAGAACGCACUAACAGGCAAGCACCCUUCUUUCUAUAUUUUUCUUUUACUUGACUUAAAUUGUUGCUGUUUAAAAGAGAUUUGCCAGAUUGAUCGGUUUUUGACAUCUCACUGGGGAGCCGUAACUUCUCUCUGCUACGCACUAAUUAAUAGCUUAUCUCUGUUUUUGUUGCAAAAAGCUGUCCUGGAUUUGCAUUCUAAAGAUACACACAGAAGAGGGAUUUCUAUUCCAGAUUUUUAUUUUGAAAAAUAUUAUACUGUUUUGAGACUACUCUCUUUUUGGUCUAUUUUAUUUUGACGAAUCUGUUUCUUGACGAUUGCCAUUAAUUGCUUCGAU